GCCUCCGUGGUGUAAAGGUAACACCCCUCACCUCAAUUCAGUCCGUCAUUUGGUUUAUGUGAGGCAUUGUGCGUUCGAUCCGCGCCGGAGGUG